UCUCCCUCUAUCCCUCCCCAAUCACCUUCUAGCUCUCUCUCUGUCUCAAAAAUAAAAAUUAAAAAACAAACUACCAAUUCUGAAUAUUUUCCUUUCCACUUCCUCUACUCUCCUUUACCCCACCUCACCCACCCUCCCAUUUCCCCUAAGCCAGGGAAGUAAAACUACACAGGUACAAAGAUUCCCUGUCUCAUGGCACAACCAUGGUUUCUUGUUCAGGUAUUGUUUCUUCUUUCCUUCCUUCUAUAAAGCUGUCCUAUUUUCCUGCCUUUUGAGUCCCUGGUCCUCUCUCAUAUUAUGAACUUAAUGAUCACUACAAAAUGCUGGCAGCAGUUCCCAGAAUGCUGAAAAGAGACAUGGUUCCUAAGUCUGCAACAAUUUCUCUUCGGCCCUCCUGUCUGUGUUCUAGCAACACUGUUUGUGGUUAUUACUUCUUCCAUGGUGAAAGGUUCUCUGCUCAACACUUAAAACGAUGUGGCCUAAUUCUGUUUAGGAUUUGUGCAUUGAUGAAAUGGCCAUUUAUAUUUGUAAAAAAAAAAAA